rnacentral:ncRNA from 1 species
AGAGUUAUCUUUUCUUUUUAACGACUUUCCCACCUUGAAAUCGGUUCAACCAGAGAUAGAGUCCAACAUCUGGAAUAGCACCACACGUCUUGCGGUGUUUGGUGCCCCCUCGAUGACCAUUGAAAAUAUGGAGAACCGAGUACCAUCCAUGCCUGGUCGUACUCAUAUCUGCCUCUUUGGAUUUUUCAAUGCCCACUAGGUUAGCAAUCU